AUUGAACGCUGGCGGCAUGCUUUACACAUGCAAGUCGAACGGUAACAGGCCGCAAGGUGCUGACGAGUGGCGAACGGGUGAGUAAUGCGUCGGAACGUGCCCAGUCGUGGGGGAUAACGCAGCGAAAGCUGCGCUAAUACCGCAUACGAUCUAUGGAUGAAAGCGGGGGACCGUAAGGCCUCGAGCGAUUGGAGCGGCCGAUGUCAGAUUAGGUAGUUGGUGGGGUAAAGGCUCACCAAGCCAACGAUAUGUAGCUGGUCUGAGAGGACGACCAGCAACACUGGGACUGAGACACGGCCCAGACUCCUACGGGAGGCAGCAGUGGGGAAUUUUGGACAAUGGGCGCAAGCCUGAUCCAGGAAGGCCGCGUGCAGGAAGAAGGCCUUCGGGUUGUAAACUGCUUUUGUACGGAACGAAAAGGCUCUGGUUAGUACCUGGGGCUCAUGACGGUACCGUAAGAAUAAGCACCGGCUAACUACGUGCCAGCCGCCGCUGUAAAAC
rnacentral:rRNA from 1 species